rnacentral:pre_miRNA from 1 species
UCUUAUGGAUGAGCAAAGAAAAUAGUUUCUCAAGAUGGAAUCUACUGCUGGUGAAGAUGCUGUGAA